AGAAUCAACGCUGGCGGCGUGCCUAACACAUGCAAGUCGCACGAGAAAGGGGAGCAAUCCCUGAGUACAGUGGCGCACGGGUGAGUAACACGUGAAUCAUCUACCUCCGAGUGGGGAAUAACUGAGAGAAAUCUUAGCUAAUACCGCAUAAUACCCACGGGUCAAAGCAGUAAUGCGCUUGGAGAGGAGUUCGCGGCAGAUUAGUUAGUUGGCGGGGUAAUGGCCCACCAAGACGAUGAUCUGUAUCCGGCCUGAGAGGGCGCACGGACACACUGGAACUGAAACACGGUCCAGACUCCUACGGGAGGCAGCAGUGGGGAAUUUUGCGCAAUGGGGGAAACCCUGACGCAGCAACGCCGCGUGGAGGAUGAAGCCCCUUGGGGUGUAAACUCCUUUCGAUCGGGAAGAUAAUGACGGUACCGAUAUAAGAAGCCCGGCUAACUUCGCGCCAGCAGCCGC
rnacentral:rRNA from 1 species